GAUGUGGAAUCUUUUUUUAAGUCUUAAAUUCUUAAUUUAAAUAUAGAGAAAAUUUUCUCCCAUAUUA
rnacentral:tRNA from 2 species